rnacentral:tRNA from 1 species
AGCAGCGUGGCUCAGUGGAAAGAGCCCUGGGGUUGGGCGUCAGAGGUCAUGGGUUUGAAUCCCGGCUCUGCCA